GAAUUUUUCACCUGCUACUACAAUUAAUUAACAAACAACCUAUCCACGGCCUUCCUCUACUGAACAUACCUGGCCUCUAAGGACCUCCUGAAUUACCUCAGGCUUUGGCCAUUUUGGACCGUCUGUCUCUACUACUACCCCACUGAAUUUUUCACCUGCUACUACAAUUAAUUAACAAACAACCUAUCCACGGCCUUCCUCUACUGAACAUACCUGGCCUCUAAGGACCUCCUGAAUUACCUCAGGCUUUGGCCAUUUUGGACAGUCUGUCUCUACUACUACCCCACUGAAUUUUUCACCUGCUACUACAAUUAAUUAACAAACAACCUAUCCACGGCCUUCCUCUACUGAACAUACCUGGCUUCUAAGGACCUCCUGAAUUACCUCAGGCUUUGGCCAUUUUGGACAGUCUGUCUCUACUACUACCCCACUGAAUUUUUCACCUGCUACUACAAUUAAUUAACAAAGUAUGUUUGCACAUUUGGCUCAUCCUGAAUGAAAUUGCUUGUUCAUUGGCUUGUACAUACUGUUUUUGCC